rnacentral:rRNA from 1 species
AUUGAACGCUGGCGGCAGGCCUAACACAUGCAAGUCGAACGGUAACAGGAAGCAGCUUGCUGCUUUGCUGACGAGUGGCGGACGGGUGAGUAAUGUCUGGGAAACUGCCUGAUGGAGGGGGAUAACUACUGGAAACGGUAGCUAAUACCGCAUAACGUCGCAAGACCAAAGAGGGGGACCUUAGGGCCUCUUGCCAUCGGAUGUGCCCAGAUGGGAUUAGCUAGUAGGUGGGGUAACGGCUCACCUAGGCGACGAUCCGUAGCUGGUCUGAGAGGAUGACCAGCCACACUGGAACUGAGACAGGGUCCAGACUCCUACGGGAGGCAGCAGUGGGGAAUAUUGCACAAUGGGCGCGAGCCUGAUGCAGCCAUGCCGCGUGUAUGAAGAAGGCCUUCGGUUUGUAAAGUACUUUCAGCGGGGAGGAAGGGAGUAAAGUUAAUACCUUUGCUCAUUGACGUUACCCGCAGAAGAAGCACCGGCUAACUCCGUG